rnacentral:rRNA from 1 species
UUCCGUAGGGGUGACCUGCGGAGGGAUCAUUACCGAGUUUACAACUCCCAAACCCCUGUGAACAUACCAAUUGUUGCCUCGGCGGAUCAGCCCGCUCCCGGUAAAACGGGACGGCCCGCCAGAGGACCCCUAAACUCUGUUUCUAUAUGUAACUUCUGAGUAAAACCAUAAAUAAAUCAAAACUUUCAACAACGGAUCUCUUGGUUCUGGCAUCGAUGAAGAACGCAGCAAAAUGCGAUAAGUAAUGUGAAUUGCAGAAUUCAGUGAAUCAUCGAAUCUUUGAACGCACAUUGCGCCCGCCAGUAUUCUGGCGGGCAUGCCUGUUCGAGCGUCAUUUCAACCCUCAAGCCCUCGGGUUUGGUGUUGGGGAUCGGCGAGCCCUUGCGGCAAGCCGGCCCCGAAAUCUAGUGGCGGUCUCGCUGCAGCUUCCAUUGCGUAGUAGUAAAACCCUCGCAACUGGUACGCGGCGCGGCCAAGCCGUUAAACCCCCAACUUCUGAAUGUGACCUCGGAUCAGGUACGAAUGCCCCCC